GAACCAGACUCCUACGGGAGGCAGCAGUGGGGAAUAUUGCACAAUGGGGGGAACCCUGAUGCAGCGACGCCGCGUGGGUGAAGGAGCACCUCGGUGCGUAAAGCCCUAUCGGCAGGGAAGAAACAGACGGUACCUGACUAAGAAGCCCCGGCUAACUACGUGCCAGCAGCCGCGGGAAUACGUAGGGGGCAAGCGUUAUCCGGAUUUACUGGGUGUAAAGGGGGCGCAGACGGCGAUGCAAGCCAGGAGUGAAAGCCCGGGGCCCAACCCCGGGACUGCUCUUGGAACUGCGUGGCUAGAGUGCAGGAGGGGCAGGCGGAAUUCCUGGUGUAGCGGUGAAAUGCGUAGAUAUCAGGAGGAACACCGGUGGCGAAGGCGGCCUGCUGGACUGCAACUGACGUUGAGGCCCGAAAGCGUGGGGAGCAAACAGGAUUAGAUACCCCAGUAC
rnacentral:rRNA from 1 species